AGCUGCUGCCAGGGAUGUUUCUGGUGAGAACAUUGUGGAGGUAGGGUGAAACUAAACGGAAUCAGGGAAGCUAAGCUACUUUCCUGGAUAUGAUGGAUCCUGACACUUUCAGGAAUCACUGGAGAAAACAGUGGGGUUCGCAGCUCGAGCUACAGUGAACCAUGACUCAGUCCGGAAGAAGUACUGCAGAUUACAUUUAACACAAAUGCCAUGAAGUCUUCCAUACACUUAUAUGGACAGUUAAGGUUUUGGCUGUACCCAACACCAUGAGCAGCUGCUCUGACUUCAGUCAGACAAUCAAGCAUUUCUUUGGACCAAUUCACUGCACACUCGUCUUUUAAUUGGGACGAGAACCAUACCCAGCAUCAAGAUUUAUUCAAUGUCUUACCUUGGAACACUGGGAGGAGCCCGCGUUGGCCGAGAUGGAACCUGAGGUGGCGUCCCAAGGCCUUCACUGUUGUUAGGAAAUGGAGGUAAUGGUCCUGGACGGAAUGGGACCGGUGGAGCCCCAGACAGAGGGCCUGGUGAUGGGACUGCUGGAGCAGGUCCUCGGCCAGAUAAAGGUCUGGUUGGGGGAUUAUUUAAUGUAGGCCUUCUUUGAGUUGAAGGACUUGGAGGGGGUGAUCUAGUGAACAAUCAGAGAUUAAUGAAAAUCUACAUGGUCUUCAAAAAUGGAAGCCAAAUACUUUCUGAAACCUGUAACAAUCUUGUAAACAUUUUCCUCUGCUCUCAUAUUGUCUUGGUCCUGAAGAGUAUAAUUUAGGCAGCCCGCUAUCUCACAGAGCUAGUAUCAUAUAUUCUUGCAAUGACAACACUCUCAUUUUCCUUUGUUCUGGAUGGUGCCUUCCAUGCUCCCAUCCAUUCCAAAGAAAUGCUCAGAGAUGCUUCCAAGUCUCAAAAUAAUAUCUAUUCCCUCACCCCCUCUACAAAAUGUACACUCAACCCUUCACUAUCACACCAUCCCUAGAAAGUAAGCAUUAUUAAGGUCAGAAUCAGGUGUACAAUCACAAGGAUAAAUAUAAUGGUUUUAGUAUUGUCAAUAUUCUAACACCAAUUUGUUAGGUGGAUUUAAUAAGAAGGCCACUUUCUUUUCAAGGAAACCAUAGGUAAGGAACACUGAAAUCUUCCAGUGACUUGAAAGAACCAAAAAGUGGACACAAAAAUUGACUUAGGUUUCACAGAGGGGUGGGGUUGCCUGAGCUUGGGAAGAGAAGAGUUAAAAACCCUUAAAGAAACUGAGAUGCUGUAGGGUGGGAGCAUAAAUGAUUAUAUUAUUUGAGCCAUAGCAACCAAAUGGAAUAUCAACUGAGUCACAAACAAAGUACAGUAGAUGGUAUUCUCAAAGGCAGAAAAGAGAUUACAAGCACCUUUCUUGAUACAUAUACCUCUUCCAUUUAUCCACGUAAUAUGAACGUGUGGAAGAAUUUGUAAAAAACUUGGACUAUAUACAGGCCGGAUAUCUUUUGGUGAAGGAGACACAUACUACAGUAGCUCCAUGGAAGACAAUUCUAGAUGAUGAAUCCCAAAGCUGCUUGACAUAUCCAAAAAUGGAUUGCCAGGUCCAACAGAUUCAUAUACCAGAACCCUCUCCCCAAGAGGUUUAUAAGCACCCUUUUCUCCAUGUCCCUUCUAGAACAAAACAGGACAGGAAAUAUCUGGAAUGAAGGCUGGUGACUUAACUGGUAGGACCUUCCACUGUGCAAAGACAAAUUCUGAGCAUAUGGUUGUUAAAAUUCAGCUCACCUGUGAGGUUUUUAGGAUUACCCAGUACAAGAAUUCCACCUGCACGCUCCCAUCCCUCAACAAGAGUUCUCUGAUUCUCUCAAGAAUUUCAUUUGAGACAUGGAGAAAGGCUUGCCAGAGAAGGAGAUGUAGCUGUGCUGAAGAUCUAGCUCUUUGUCUUAAUUUCCACUGCAAAACUGAUCUGAAGAUCCUUACCUGCGGGAUUGCUGUAGCCAGGAAUCAUCAACUGGAGGUGGGGCAGGGAUAGAUACAGUGCUAGUGCUAAUAUCUCCAAUGAUUGCCAGUGCUUCUUUUAGGGCUUGGUACAGGCGAAGCCCCUCAUCUCGCCUCU